AGAUUCUUGGUAACUAGAAAAUAUGUAUGAUGUAAUCCAUUUCAGACCUGGGCUUGAAUCUCUCUUCAAAAGUACACACAUACUUAACAUUGUCAUCCAUAUGCAUGUAUGAUUAACGAAAGAAUCAGUAUGAGAUCAGCAAGCACAAAUUUUAUCAUUUCAUUUCUUGACAAGUGUGUUUAGAUAACUGAAUUCAUCCAUGGACAUGGUAAACACAUCACAAUUUCAUCUGAAUAAUUGACCAACCUUUACCUAAAUAUUCUUGAUUAUUUUCUCUUGCUCUUAUCUACAAUCCCGUCGAUCCAAUCUGUUCUAUCUAUCGUAAGGGCAGUCAAAAUCAUUUUCAGCAACUUUAAAGUGAUGGGGUUGCUGGCCUGAGCAAUGAAUAUUC
rnacentral:lncRNA from 1 species